rnacentral:rRNA from 1 species
AGAGUCAACGCUGGCGGCGUGCCUAACACAUGCAAGUCGAACGAGAAAGUGGAGCAAUCCAUGAGUAAAGUGGCGCACGGGUGAGUAACACGUGACUAACCUACCCUUGAGUGGGGAAUAACUGAGGGAAACCUUGGCUAAUACCGCAUAAUACCUACGGGUCAAAGGAGCAAUUCGCUUAAGGAGGGGGUCGCGGCAGAUUAGCUAGUUGGCGGGGUAAUGGCCCACCAAGGCAGUGAUCUGUA